CGAGUCCUUUACUGACGCUAAAGCUCGAAAGUGCGGGUAUCGAACAGGAUUAGAUACCCUGGUAGUCCGCACGGUAAACGAUGGAUGCCCGCUGUUGGCGAUACAUUGUCAGCGGCCAAGCGAAAGCGUUAAGCAUCCCACCUGGGGAGUACGCCGGCAACGGUGAAACUCAAAGGAAUUGACGGGGGCCCGCACAAGCGGAGGAACAUGUGGUUUAAUUCGAUGAUACGCGAGGAACCUUACCCGGGCUUGAACUGCCAGCGAACGAUACAGAGAUGUUGAGGCCCUUCGGGGCGCUGGUGGAGGUGCUGCAUGGUUGUCGUCAGCUCGUGCCGUGAGGUGUCGGCUUAAGUGCCAUAACGAGCGCAACCCCUUUUUUCAGUUGCCAUCAGGUUGAGCUGGGCACUCUGGAGACACUGCCGCCGUAAGGUGUGAGGAAGGUGGGGAUGACGUCAAAUCAGCACGGCCCUUACGUCCGGGGCUACACACGUGUUACAAUGGGUGAUACAGAGAGUCAGUGCAUGGCAAUAUGCAUUCAAUCAUGAAAGUCAUCCUCAGUUCGGAUUGGGGUCUGCAACCCGACCCCAUGAAGCUGGAUUCG
rnacentral:rRNA from 1 species